rnacentral:rRNA from 1 species
GGGGAUGGCGGGUGCUAUACAUGCAGUCGAGCGGACAGAUGGGAGCUUGCUCCCUGAUGUUAGCGGCGGACGGGUGAGUAACACGUGGGUAACCUGCCUGUAAGACUGGGAUAACUCCGGGAAACCGGGGCUAAUACCGGAUGCUUGUUUGAACCGCAUGGUUCAGACAUAAAAGGUGGCUUCGGCUACCACUUACAGAUGGACCCGCGGCGCAUUAGCUAGUUGGUGAGGUAACGGCUCACCAAGGCAACGAUGCGUAGCCGACCUGAGAGGGUGAUCGGCCACACUGGGACUGAGACACGGCCCAGACUCCUACGGGAGGCAGCAGUAGGGAAUCUUCCGCAAUGGACGAAAGUCUGACGGAGCAACGCCGCGUGAGUGAUGAAGGUUUUCGGAUCGUAAAGCUCUGUUGUUAGGGAAGAACAAGUGCCGUUCAAAUAGGGCGGCACCUUGACGGUACCUAACCAGAAAGCCACGGCAUAAUUUCAGAGUUUGAUCGUGGCUCAAGACGAACGCUGUCGGUAUGCCUAAUACAUGCAAGUCGAGCGGACAGAUGGGAGCUUGCUCCCUGAUGUUAGCGGCGGACGGGUGAGUAACACGUGGGUAACCUGCCUGUAAGACUGGGAUAACUCCGGGAAACCGGGGCUAAUACCGGAUGCUUGUUUGAACCGCAUGGUUCAGACAUAAAAGGUGGCUUCGGCUACCACUUACAGAUGGACCCGCGGCGCAUUAGCUAGUUGGUGAGGUAACGGCUCACCAAGGCAACGAUGCGUAGCCGACCUGAGAGGGUGAUCGGCCACACUGGGACUGAGACACGGCCCAGACUCCUACGGGAGGCAGCAGUAGGGAAUCUUCCGCAAUGGACGAAAGUCUGACGGAGCAACGCCGCGUGAGUGAUGAAGGUUUUCGGAUCGUAAAGCUCUGUUGUUAGGGAAGAACAAGUGCCGUUCAAAUAGGGCGGCACCUUGACGGUACCUACCAGAAGGCCACAAUUCCG